UACCAGCACCCCGAGUGGUCGGGACGAUUAUUGGGCCUAACGCAUCCGUAGCCGGUUUUACAAGUCCUCCGUUAAAUCCAGCUGCUUAACAGAUGGGCUGCGGAGGAUACUAUAAGACUAGGAGGCAGGAGAGGCAAGCGGUACUCAGUGGGUAGGGGUAAAAUCCGUUGAUCCAUUGAAGACCACCAGUGGCGAAGGCGGCUUGCCAGAAUGCGCUCGACGGUGAGGGAUGAAAGCUGGGGGAGCAAACCGG
rnacentral:rRNA from 1 species